AGGAAGACGAGAGACAGCAACACCAAAAGUACACGUCCAUAACUGCUCAUAACUGUCAGGGACCCUGAGUCUGACAGUUACUUGUUGAAGGUCCAAACUGAAUUCAGAUGUUCCUGUGGAAACACAGUAUGAUGAUGUCACAGAGGCGACAGACAACUCAAACAAACUCACCCAUAGUGCACUGAGUUUUCUUAACAAGGCCCGUGUCUCUCCCAGCAACGCCUCCUGUAGUAACACCGAUGAAGUUGUCUCCUCCGUGUCUCGAAAAGUGCACUUUAAGGACUUUAGUCCAGUUUCUACAUGUAAAGCCUCAAACUACCAGAACCUUAAUGGAGCCACCAGAGACCAGGACCAAAUCUACUCCACACUCAAAAUCACUGACCAGACUCUCCAGACUCAGAGCUGAACAUGAACAUCGAAAGGACAAUAAAAAUCAAAUAAAAUUAAUAUUUCUAGUCUGGGUUAAAAGCCAAGCCAAAAAAAGAUGAUGCAGUGAGUCAGAGUAGCGUCCAGUCAUAAAGCUGGCCAAGCUAGUUUUUGCAUAUUUGUGAAGAAUUCAUGUAUCUGUCAUAUUAGCAGUCAAAACAAAAUCUUUUUAAAAGCACAGAGAAGAUUGUGGUGCAUACAUCAUACAUUUUAUGUGUGGUUGAUCUUCAGAAAAACUCCUUUUACUCAACA